rnacentral:rRNA from 1 species
UACGGGGGGGGGCAAGCGUUGUUCGGAAUUACUGGGCGUAAAGGGCUCGUAGGCGGCCAACUAAGUCAGACGUGAAAUCCCUCGGCUUAACCGGGGAACUGCAUCUGAUACUGGAUGGCUUGAGUUCGGGAGAGGGAUGCGGAAUUCCAGGUGUAGCGGUGAAAUGCGUAGAUAUCAGGAGGAACACCUGUGGCGAAAGCGGCUCACUGGACCAUAACUGACGCUGAUGCACGAAAGCUAGGGGAGCAAACAGG